rnacentral:piRNA from 1 species
UGAUCAGUGUUCAGAACUGUCUGGGAUUC